CCUACGGGGGGCUGCAGUGAGGAAUAUUGGUCAAUGGACGAGAGUCUGAACCAGCCAAGUAGCGUGAAGGAUGACUGCCCUAUGGGUUGUAACCUUCUUUUAUAAAGGAAUAAAACGAGGCACGUGUGCCUUUUUGCAUGUACUUUAUGAAUAAGGCUCGGCUAACUCCGUGCCAGCAGCCGCGGUAAUACGGAGGAUUCGAGCGUUAUCCGGAUUUGUUGGGUUUAAAGGGAGCGUAGAUGGGUUGUUAAGUCAGUUGUGAAAGUUUGCGGCUCAACCGUAAAAUUGCAAUUGAUACUGGCAGUCUUGAGUACAGUUGAGGUAGGCGGAAUGCGUGGUGUAGCGGUGAAAUGCUUAGAUAUCACGAAGAACCCCGAUUGCGAAGGCAGCUUACUAAACUGUGACUGACAUUGAUGCUCGAAAGUGUGUGUAUCAAACAGGAUUAGAUACCCGAGUAGUC
rnacentral:rRNA from 1 species